AGACGAGCCAAGAUUUGUAUUUUGGUGUGAUGUUUGGUGCCUGAGGGUCGAGGCAUCAAGACAUUAUGUUUCAUGAAUGCCAAAUGCACGUGUUUGACACCCUGACAAUGGGACCACCUAGCAUAUCCAGGUGACUUGUGAAAGAAGGUGCGACCUGUAAAUUGCGAUACAAUUGAAAGAGCACAAGCUGGCACAGUCCACUUGAUGAGGAGAACAUGUGCAGAGCUGGUUGACAAACUUGAACGUCAGAAUGGAAGCAAAGCCACAAAAAAAUGUAGGCUCAUUGAAAAGCCCAAGAAUAUAGCAGAGUGACUGUGAAGACCCUGUGAAGAGGUGUCUGGAAAAUCUGCAGCUUUUGAUUCAGGGAAAAGAAGAAUAUUGUUCUGUAAUUUGUCACUGUUACAAGACAACAUUCAUGCCGACAGCAAAUGCAAGCAAUACAGCAACUAUGACUUCUAGGAAACCACAGCGGAAUGGAUCUUCUGUUUCGCUGCCAGAGUUCAACAUUGCAUUACUAGGAGUACUUGGGGUAGGAA